rnacentral:rRNA from 1 species
UAGGGAAUCUUCCGCAAUGGGCGAAAGCCUGACGGAGCAACGCCGCGUGAGUGAUGAAGGUCUUCGGAUCGUAAAACUCUGUUAUUAGGGAAGAACAAAUGUGUAAGUAACUAUGCACGUCUUGACGGUACCUAAUCAGAAAGCCACGGCUGACUACGUGCCAGCAGCCGCGGUAAUACGUAGGUGGCAAGCGUUAUCCGGAAUUAUUGGGCGUAAAGCGCGCGUAGGCGGUUUUUUAAGUCUGAUGUGAAAGCCCACGGCUCAACCGUGGAGGGUCAUUGGAAACUGGAAAACUUGAGUGCAGAAGAGGAAAGUGGAAUUCCAUGUGUAGCGGUGAAAUGCGCAGAGAUAUGGAGGAACACCAGUGGCGAAGGCGACUUUCUGGUCUGUAACUGACGCUGAUGUGCGAAAGCGUGGGGAUCAAACAGG